AACUUUUAGCAAUUGAUCACUUGGUUCUGGCAUCGAUGAAGAACGCAGCGAAAUGCGAUAAGUAGUGUGAAUUGCAGAAUUCAGUGAAUCAUCGAAUCUUUGAACGCAUAUUGCGCCCCUUGGUAUCCCGAGGGGCAUGCCUGUUCGAGCGUCAUUUCACCACUCAAGCCUGGCUUGGUGUUGGGCGACGUCCCCUUUGGGGACGCGCCUCGAAACGCUCGGCGGCGUGGCACCGGCUUUAAGCGUAGCAGAAUCUUUCGCUUUGGAAGUCGGGGCCCCGUCUGCCGGAAGACCUACUCGCAAGGUUGACCUCGGAUCAGGCAGGGAUACCCGCUGAACUUAAGCAUAUCAAUAAGCGGAGGCU
rnacentral:misc_RNA from 1 species